UUCGGGUUAUGGAAACCGGCAACAUCAGGGUUAUGGUGGAGGUUCCCUAGUCCUGCAGAACCCCCCAAAUUGCAUACUUAAAAUUACUUAUUUUGUUGUACAUAGAUUUAAUCUCAACAAGGCUGAUUCAAGGUAAGAUAACAUACAUGUAGACUCCAGGCCAUGACCUGAUGGGCUUUGCCUGAUCUGACCCUGCCAGCCUCCAUCUGCCAACCUCCCUGGUCCUCACAGCAGGCCGCCACGGCCUGGCGUUGCUUCCCCUUGGACUUGCCAGUGGAGCCCUGCCUCAGGGCCUUUGCACCAUCUGUCCACUUGGAACCCUACCUGGGUUCUGGCUUAAGUCCCUCCAUGGUGUACAUUAUUUUGUAAAUUACUUCUCUCCGUCUUUUUAGUGUGGUGCCCUAUUGUCCAUCUUCUAGGGGCAGGGAUCUCUUAUUCCUGUACAAUGCUUAGACAAAUCCUUUGCACGUGGCAGGAUUAUUAAUUCUGCAAAGGGCUGUUAAAUGAGCCCAGGUCUGUGAGCUCUUUCUUGAAGAAGCUUACUGGUGUCCUCCAGCACCAAGCGCUGAAAUGACCACAACAGACCUGCUUCUGUGACCUAAGAAUGAAGGGUCAGGGUCCAGGACAGGGCAGCCCUGCGGCUCUCCUUGUGUGGUGUCCAGGUA
rnacentral:lncRNA from 1 species